rnacentral:rRNA from 1 species
AUACGGAGGGUGCAAGCGUUGUUCGGAAUCACUGGGCGUAAAGGGCGCGCAGGCGGUUUGAUUAGUCAGAUGUGAAAGCCCACGGCUUAACCGUGGAAGUGCAUUUGAAACUGUCAGACUUGAGUAUCAGAGGGGAAAGUGGAAUUCCCGGUGUAGAGGUGAAAUUCGUAGAUAUCGGGAGGAAUACCGGUGGCGAAGGCGACUUUCUGGCUAGAUACUGACGCUGAGGCGCGAAAGCGUGGGGAGCAAACAGGAUUAGAAACCCCGGUAGUCC